rnacentral:rRNA from 1 species
AUGGAGCAAGUAAUAUGUCUGAUAUUCGAGGUCGGAGAUUUCUUUGAUAUGGUUUCAGUUUUGCUGAAUGUCGUGGGCGCGUCUUGCAAGAGAAAAGACCAACUUCGUGAGCAUCACCAAGAAGAAGUGAGAAAAGCAAUAGGAUGUGGAGAGAUUGCUACGGGGACUGGACUGAAUCAAGAAUUAUCUCUUCAAAGACCAGGUGACACUCGAUGGAACUCCCAUUAUAAAACAUUGUUGGGUUUGUCAAAGAUGUUCUCGUCGGUGGUUAAAGUUCUAGAAUAUGUUGAGAAAGAUGGCACAGAUACUGGAAAGAGGCGUCAAGCUAGAGGUCUUCUCAAAUAUUUCCAGACUUUUGAUUCUGCAUUUUUCUUACAUAUGAUGAUGAUGAUAUUAGCUUUAACAAAUGGACUAUCAAAAACCUUACAGAGAAAGGAUAAAGACAUUGUAAAUGCUAUUUCAGAUGUGGAAUCAACUAAACGGGAGUUAGAAAAGCUCAGAACCAAUGAAGGGUGGGAUUCUCUUAUGAGGAAGGUAUACUGUUUCUGUGAGAAACAUGACAUUCCAGUACUGGACAUGGAAGACGCCUAUGUUAACCCAAAGAAGCCAAGACAAAAGACCGGUAUUAACAAUGAACAUUAUUACCGUGUUGACUGUUUCUUUGCUGUUCUGGAUCUGUUAGGAGAAGAGUUUAAUGACAGAUUUAAUGAGGUAAAUUCUGAGUUGCUUCUAUGCAUGUCUGCUUUGAGCCCAAGUGAUUUAUUUUCUCGUUUUGACAAGGCGAAGUUGCUGAAAUUAGCUAAGCAUUAUCCCGAUGACUUUAAUCACCAAGAUAUGGUGACUCUUGAGCAUGAACUUGGUCUCUACAUAGAUAAUAUACUCCAUGAUACAAGGUUUUCUAGCUUGGACAAAAUAGGUGAUCUAGCUAAACUGAUGGUGGAUACAAGGAAGCACCUCUCCUAUCCUUUGGUAUAUCGGCUUUUGAAGCUAGCUUUGACUCUUCCUGUUGCCACUGCCACUGUUGAGAGGUUUUUCAGCUAUGAAGAUUGUGAAGAAUGCUUUGCGUAA